GGCCCAGUUCAACGUGGACGUCAGGGGAGCACCGGGUGGUUACUUUUUGGUCUGAGUGCGUCCCACACGACAUUGAGACACACUCACACUAAAAGGGAUCGGCCGGCGGCCUGAGCUCACGCGUAGCGGGCGUGCUUUAUU
ensembl:miRNA